CCAAGAGGUCCACUGUGCCUGUCAUGCAGGAUCGGUACCUGGAGGUCAAGAUCAACGUGACAGAUCCAGUUCCCUGCUUUGGACAUCCGGCUUUCUUACAACAACAUUCAGCUCUUCCUGGCUAUCGUCAAAUCCAUCCCCACCACCGGCUCUCCCGGGCCCAGCGACUCUGCCGACGACACCCUGGCCCUGGUAGUACCAUCCAUGGCCAGCCCCGACCCCUCCACCUCCCAAAAAGACACCUUCAGGCACAAGACGGAGGCCCUGCUAGGUAUAUCACCUGAGGCCUACAGGGGUGUAGUAAAGUUAAAUGAAGGUCAGCUGACUCGGUUACAGGAUCUAGGCUUCAGGAAGGAGCACUGAUCCACUGCAAAGGCCAACUGGACCAGGCUGCCACAUGGCUGCUGGAGAAUGCAGAGACCAUGGUGGGUCAUGCCCGGGGCAGGGCAGACUCGGACUCGGCCAGCCAUUUGUCGCAUCUGCUUCAUCGACGACUGUCUCGACUGUGACAUCCCACUGGCCGAGUUCACCUUCUCACGCCUCUAUGUACUGCAGCGGAUCGGCUCGACCCAGGAGGGAAACCGCAGCUUCACUUUGUAAGGGGACUACUACAACAGAGAACUG